GCUCCGGAGCCGACGCUGCUGAGCGACGGCCGGCCAGUGCCCGAGGGUGCCGCGGAACAGUGGAAAGAGAGUUACGGUGUUAUGGUGAUCAGCCGCAUAAACUGCACUCUAGACGGCCUUAAAGGGUGAAAAAACCUGUCUUCGUAGUUGCCAGUGAUGAUGGAGCAGUGUCUCACCGAUGGAGGAGUCGUGGGAUGGCUCGUAAACGUGCGGGCGCCAGGGACGCUUUGGAGGGACUAGGAAGAUGAAAUCAAAAGGAAAAAAGGAGAAAGAUCCCCCCUGCAAAUCCAGUUCCCCCCUGCAAAUCCAUGCACCGGUUCAUCUGCUCGGCUGCUGCUGCUUGACAGAGGUUCAAAGCAGAAGUAACUUCCUAGCGAAGAACCAUGGAAACUCAUCAGCUGCAGAGACGAGCAGACGGCCCAAAGAGCAGAAGAGCGAGCACGCCGAUGUGAACCGUAUCGAGACCGCAGUUGACGGCCGAACGCCUUUGAUCCCGCGCGCGAGAGCGAUGAACUUUGGGUUUCGUGUGAAAGAGUAGGAAAAUCGAUAUUGUAAGGCCUCAUUUGUUAAAGCGUGGUGUGAACUGUGUCAAGAUUCAGAAUCCUGCAUGAGAGAUAAAGUCCUUGAAGAUGAAGGUGAAUCAGAGAGAUCAGAGAUGUUAAGAGAGACACCGGGGUUUCUGAUAAACCCCUGGAAGGGAUAAGGCGAGGCACGUACGACACGAGAGGUACGAAAGGCACGGAAGGCACGGUAGAAAAGUGACGCGACACA